rnacentral:lncRNA from 1 species
AGAAAAUGGGGAGGAGAGAAGGGCAGCCAAUUUUAUAUAAUUUUCCUACAGAAUUGAGGUUGAAAUUUUUUUCAGAAGAUACACAUAGAAAAUCGAGAGAGGAGAAUUGGAGGGCUGAUUUGCUGCUCAAAUUAAUAGACAUACAAGCACGGAAAUUUAGGCAGCUUUGUGAAGAUUGAGACAUACAAGAAACGGUAGCUUUGGUGGAAUUAAUUGGGUGCUGUAUGCCAAUAUCAAAUACAUAUAUAUACACGCAAGGCUUGCUGGCGGCUGGAAGCAAAAACCAAUUGUGCUAAAUUGAGAUUAUAUAUACAUGGCAGAGACAUGAGACAAGAUGGAAAUACGCAGAAAAAAGGCAGCGGUUUUAUUAAUCAUAUUCCGUCAAUUCCCGGUAGUGUCUUCUGUUAAAUUAUCUUGUUCU